CCGGCAACGGCGGUGUUGAUCUGGAAAAUCCCAGCGGCGACCGCUUGGGAUGGACUUCUGGACAUUGCAGAAGCAGAGGAGGAAGGCCUUUUACCAUUUUGCAGAUCCUGGAAACUCAUUUCGGCGAUUAUCGUGAUCCCUUCGAAAGAGAGGAGUACAAACCCUAAAGCUUAAGGCCUGCAGAGGGCAACUGGCAGCAGCAGGUGGAGGUGAAGCUCAUUUUUGUGCAAAGCGAAAAG
rnacentral:misc_RNA from 1 species